rnacentral:lncRNA from 1 species
UAUUAUAAAGUACAAAUACAUAAAGCACUUUUAUGCUCAGGGAACUCACAACAGGAGAGAGGUAUGCAAACACUGACACCAAACCACUUUGGGAAUAUAAAGGAGGUAGUACUAUUGGACAAGGAGGGAGAAAUGAUAAGCCAAACCUUCCUUAAGUGGGGAGGUCCUUGAACUAAUGUGUGAAGAGUUAGUUUCACGUCAGCUUAUGGAAGUGAGAGGGUAGAUUUGAGACAGUUUUAGGAGCAUCACAGGUUAGGGCUGGGGAUUUACAAGGAACAAUGCUCUGUAGGAUUGGGGAGAAAGUUAGUUUCUUGGCUUAUUGUCUGAGGUUGGUUUCUGGCUGUUACUGAAACAGAAUACAGGAGGAAAUUGUUUAGGGAGAAAGUUUUAUUUAGAUUUUAAACAACUAAUUUUAGAGUAAUGGAUUGUUUUAGUCUAUUUUGUGUUGCUAUACCAAAAUACCUGAGGUUGGGUACUUUAUAC